GUAUUAUAUUUCAUAAAGAAGUACAUUUGCUAUAGCCUAUAUGCAUUGAACAUUCUCUUUAUUUUUUAAACAAAAUUUUAUCCAUAUGUAAUACAGGUACAUGUACAGAUGAAAAUAAUUUAAGAAAACUUUUUCAUGAUAAAAAAAACCCUGAUCAGUACCAUCUAAGUAUGAUUAUGAUAUGAUUUGCAAAAAUAACAUGGAAUAAAUGCUUUAUUGUUGAGCUAGAGCUUUAUUUUGGAAUAAAGUUUGGAUUCAGCUCAUCUGUCAUUAUACUGGGAAAGGAAUCAAAAUACAUAAUUAAGUUUGCCUAUAAAAUAUGUGUAUGUCUUACUGAGGUUUUUGAAACUUGUAUAAUUCCAUGCAAUAUGUUGAUUUUUGUAUUAUAAUAGUUUAUGAUACAUUAUUGUUUUAUUAAAGGGAACC
rnacentral:misc_RNA from 1 species